rnacentral:rRNA from 1 species
GACGAACGCUGGCGGCGUGCCUAAUACAUGCAAGUCGAACGAGAGCGACCGGUGCUUGCACUGGUCAAUCUAGUGGCGAACGGGUGAGUAACACGUGGGUAACCUGCCCAUCAGAGGGGGAUAACAUCCGGAAACGGAUGCUAAAACCGCAUAGGUCUUCGAGCCGCAUGGCUUGAAGAGGAAAAGAGGCGCAAGCUUCUGCUGAUGGAUGGACCCGCGGUGCAUUAGCUAGUUGGUGAGGUAACGGCUCACCAAGGCCGUGAUGCAUAGCCGACCUGAGAGGGUGAUCGGCAACAUUGGGACUGAGACACGGCCCAAACUCCUACGGGAGGCAGCAGUAGGGAAUCUUCCGCAAUGGACGCAAGUCUGACGGAGCAACGCCGCGUGAGUGAAGAAGGUUUUCGGAUCGUAAAACUCUGUUGUUAGAGAAGAACAAGUGCUAGAGUAACUGUUAGCGCCUUGACGGUAUCUAACCAGAAAGCCACGGCUAACUACGUG